UUGUUUUCAAAAUAAUAUGUGUGCGGACUGUAUAAGAGGAUUCAUCUCAAAUCAAUUGAAUGAUUAAGUUGCCAGCUGUGCUUAUGCUCUUUCCAUUCUAUCAAUGUCAUCUUUGUACUCCAUAGAAUUUUACCAUCUGGCCUUCUCUGGUACUUGUAUGAUUUUUUAGGCUUUGUAAGAGUGCGUGAUGUGGAUAUAUAAGAAGCAAAACCACAUUGGCAUUAUGUAUAUGACAUAUAUUUCUAGAAAACAAGAGAAUCCUUCUGGCCAUGGAGAUGAGAAGUCUGCUAGGAUCCUACUGAUAGCUAAGCUUAAGCAGUUGAUUGAGGCAAAUCCACUAAUUGGUGAUAAGCUUCAGUUUCCUACCUUGUAGAAGUCAAGACUAGAAACACUAGGCAAAUUGAGUUUAUAUUGGCAGAUUCAACAAUGCGAUACUAAAGUAUCUAAUCAUAAACUGCCCAAGAGUGUUCUAUAUGAGGACCCUUAUUGUGAUCAAGCAACUGACACCAUCCCCUGUAGCUCAUGGAGUUGGAGAGGGAAUCAAGGCUUUUCUUUGAUAUCAAGUAUUUCCAAGAAUGUGUGAGCAACG